UCUCUGAAAGCUUCUGGGAAAUGGUCAAUAAAGGGACAUAGUUCUUUAUGGAUGAAGACCCUGACUUGCCAACAAAAUGCUGAGUGUGAGAGUGGCUGGUGGAAAGAAAGGCAUGAAAAGGGAAAAGGAAUGAGACAUGAUCGCAAAGUCCAGCAGUAAAUGGGACUUCAGGAAAGGUUUGGUCCAGGGUCUUGAUGAUGUCAGGAAGAGGCCUUUAUCUCUUUACUCUUCCUCCCUGCUGUUCAUCCUGAGUGGGAUCCCUAUCGUGUUUGUUGGCUUCAGGGAACGUAAGGGAGGCCAAUGCGGCUACAACUUUGUAAAUCGUAGUGAGACACGCAGGAGAAUUAACUAGAAGAUGGGCAGGAGACAGAACGUAUGUGGCCUUGAACACCAGGCAGAAAGCUUGACUGUUCUAUUAAGAGCAGUGGUAGGUCACUAAAGAUUUUUAAACAAGGGAGUUACAUGAUGUGAUGCACAGUUCUAAAACACUGAUUAUCCAUUCAGAAUGGUUUGGUGAAGAGCCAGAGAAGAAACAGAGCAGCAAGUAAGUUAAAUGGCUGUAUUGUCGCUCAGAUCGAGGUAAAGAUUGGGUGUGAGAGAUGAGAGAGAGGAAGGAAUCAUGAGCAAGAUGCUUUGUCUCUGGCUCUUCUUUGUACCCCAAAUUUAGGGUGUCUUUCCUGGUAUGUAUUUUGCCAGGGACCCCAGGGGUAUUACCCAUCUAUGACCAGUUUUUAAUGUUAAUUUUUUUGACUUUGGUUAUUAGAGAGCUCUCAACCCAAUAUUACAUGAGAAGGGGGGGAAAAAAAAGAGUGACUAAACAAAUGGGACCUAAUUAAACUUAAAAGGUCUUGUACAGCACGGGAAACCAUAGACAAGAUACAAAGACAAACCCCAGAAUGGGAGAAAAUAAUUGCAAAUGAUGCUACUGACAGGGGAUUAAUUUCCAAAAUAUACAAACAGCUCCUGCAGGUUAAUAUCCCCCCCAAAUCAAACAACCCAAUCAAAAAAAAAA
rnacentral:lncRNA from 1 species